AGUGAACGCUGGCGGUAGGCCUAACACAUGCAAGUCGAACGGCAGCACAGUAAGAGCUUGCUCUUACGGGUGGCGAGUGGCGGACGGGUGAGGAAUACAUCGGAAUCUACUUUUUCUUGGGGGAUAACGUAGGGAAACAUACGCUAAUACCGCAUACGACCUACGGGUGAAAGCAGGGGAUCUUCGGACCUUUCCCGAUUCAAUGAGCCGAUGUCGGAUUAGCUAGUUGGCGGGGUAAAGGCCCACCAAGGCGACGAUCCGUAGCUGGUCUGAGAGGAUGAUCAGCCACACUGGAACUGAGACACGGUCCAGACUCCUACGGGAGGCAGCAGUGGGGAAUAUUGGACAAUGGGCGCAAGCCUGAUCCAGCCAUGCCGCGUGGGUGAAGAAGGCCUUCGGAUUGUAAAGCCCUUUUAUUGGGAAAGAAAAGCAGCAGGUUAAUACCCCGCUGUUUUGACGGUACCCAAAGAAUAAGCCCCGGCUAACUUCGUG
rnacentral:rRNA from 1 species